rnacentral:rRNA from 1 species
ACGGAAGGCAGCAGUGGGGAAUAUUGCACAAUGGGGGAAACCCUGAUGCAGCGACGCCGCGUGAGUGAAGAAGUAAUUCGUUAUGUAAAGCUCUAUCAGCAGGGAAGAAAGUGACGGUACCUGAGUAAGAAGCCCCGGCUAACUACGUGCCAGCAGCCGCGGUAAUACGUAGGGGGCAAGCGUUAUCCGGAUUUACUGGGUGUAAAGGGAGUGUAGACGGCGAUGCAAGUCUGAAGUGAAAGCCCGGUGCUCAACAUCGGGACUGCUUUGGAAACUGUAUAGCUGGAGUGCCGGAGAGGUAAGCGGAAUUCCUAGUGUAGCGGUGAAAUGCGUAGAUAUUAGGAAGAACACCAGUGGCGAAGGCGGCUUACUGGACGGUAACUGACGUUGAGGCUCGAAAGCGUGGGGAGCAAACAGGAUUAGAUACCCUGGUA